rnacentral:rRNA from 1 species
GACGAACGCUGGCGGCGUGCUUAACACAUGCAAGUCGAACGAUGAAGCUAGAGCUUGCUCUGGUGAAUUAGUGGCGAACGGGUGAGUAACACGUGAGUAACCUGCCCCGAACUCUGGGAUAACUGCUGGAAACGGUAGCUAAUACUGGAUACGACCUACGAAGGCAUCUUCUGUAGGUGGAAAGAAUUUCGGUUCGGGAUGGACUCGCGGCCUAUCAGCUUGUUGGUGAGGUAACGGCUCACCAAGGCGACGACGGGUAGCCGGCCUGAGAGGGUGACCGGCCACACUGGGACUGAGACACGGCCCAGACUCCUACGGGAAGCAGCAGUGGGGAAUAUUGCACAAUGGGCGCAAGCCUGAUGCAGCAACGCCGCGUGAGGGAUGACGGCUUUCGGGUUGUAAACCUCUUUUAGUAGGGAAGAAGCGAAAGUGACGGUACCUGCAGAAAAAGCACCGGCUAACUACGUGCCAGCCGCCGCCGUAA